UACGUAGGGGGCAAGCGUUGUCCGGAAUCAUUGGGCGUAAAGCGUGUGUAGGUGGAUCGUUAAGUACCUUGUGAAAUCCCACGGCUUAACCGUGGAACUGCUUGGUAUACUGGCGGUCUUGAGCCAGCUAGGGGCUACCGGAACAAAUGGUGGAGCGGUGAAAUGCGUAGAUAUCAUUUGGAACGCCAAUGGUGAAAACAGGUAGCUGGGGCUGUGCUGACACUGAGACACGAAAGCCAGGGGAGCAAACGGG
rnacentral:rRNA from 1 species